CCUACGGGAGGCAGCAGUGGGGGAUAUUGCACAAUGGGGGAAACCCUGAUGCAGCGACGCCGCGUGGGUGAAGAAGCGCCUCGGCGCGUAAAGCCCUGUCAGCAGGGAAGAAGAUGACGGUACCUGAAGAAGAAGCCCCGGCUAAAUACGUGCCAGCAGCCGCGGUAAUACGUAGGGGGCAAGCGUUAUCCGGAUUUACUGGGUGUAAAGGGGGCGCAGGCGGGGAUGCAAGCCAGGAGUGAAAGCCCGGGGCCCAACCCCGGGACUGCUCUUGGAACUGCGUGGCUAGAGUGCAGGAGGGGCAGGCGGAAUUCCUGGUGUAGCGGUGAAAUGCGUAGAUAUCAGGAGGAACACCAGUGGCGAAGGCGGCCUGCUGGACUGCAACUGACGUUGAGGCCCGAAAGCGUGGGGAGCAAACAGGAUUAGAUACCCCUGUAGUC
rnacentral:rRNA from 1 species